AGUGAACGCUGGCGGUAGGCCUAACACAUGCAAGUCGAACGGCAGCACAGUAAGAGCUUGCUCUUACGGGUGGCGAGUGGCGGACGGGUGAGGUAUACAUCGGAAUCUACUUUUUCGUGGGGGAUAACGUAGGGAAACUUACGCUAAUACCGCAUACGAGCUACGGGUGAAAGCAGGGGAUCUUCGGACCUUGCGCGAUUGAAUGAGCCGAUGUCGGAUUAGCUAGUUGGCGGGGUAAAGGCCCACCAAGGCGACGAUCCGUAGCUGGCCUGAGAGGAUGAUCAGCCACACUGGAACUGAGACACGGUCUAGACUCCUACGGGAGGCAGCAGUGGGGAAUAUUGGACAAUGGGCGAAAGCCUGAUCCAGCAAUACCGCGUGGGUGAAGAAGGCCUUCGGGUUGUAAAGCACUUUUGUUGGGAAAGAAAAGCAGCAGGUUAAUACCCCGCUGUUCUGACGGUACCCAAAGAAUAAGCACCGGCUAACUUCGUG
rnacentral:rRNA from 1 species